rnacentral:rRNA from 1 species
AGGGGCAUCAUACCACCCUGAACAUACCAGAUCUUGUCUGAUCUCAGAAGCUAUGCAGAGACAUGCCCAGUUAGUACUUGAACGGGAUGAUGCCAUGU